CACGAUGACAUUAUUACGUUAUAAUAUUGUUAUUAAUCGCAAUUAAUUUGGUUUGACUGUUUUUUUCCUAUGUUUUUUUUGUUUGUUUAACAGCAAUAACAGCGCCUCCUCUCCCACAACUAUGAAUUAUCCUCUCUGGAGCAGCACCCCGUAGGUCGUCUGGGAGUAACGACGCUCAAGAGGCGUCUCUCCUACCAGGGAGAACUGCCCUCCCCCGUGGAGAGAAAGGGAGACACGCCAACUCCCAAUUCGUCGGCGAAGUCGCCCUCCUGGGUGGAGAGCGUAGAGGAGAGUUCGCCCAAAAAUGCGAGAAAAUGUCUGGUUUUGGGGAGAGACCCGACAACGGAGAGAAACGGUGACACGACUCCGUCGACUCGGAACUCGCCCUCCUGGGUGGAAACACCCAGUCCGAGGCAUAAGAUCUUACUCCUGGUGGCUGAGGCAAACCAGUUACUGAGGAAAGUACAGGAGUUAGUAGAAUUUAUUUAGGAAAAAU